UGGGGGUAUAGCUCAGUUGGUAGAGCGCUGCUUUUGCACGGCAGAUGUCAGCGGUUCGAAACCGCAUAUAUCAA
rnacentral:tRNA from 1 species